GAGUGCGAUCAUACCAAUGUUAAUGCACUGGAUCCCCUAAGAACUCUGCAGUUAAGCGUGCAUGGGCUAGAGUAGUACUAUGAUGGGUGACCUCCCAGGAAGUAUUAGUGUUGCACCCU
rfam:Picea glauca, whole genome shotgun sequence.